CAUAUUUUGCAACUCAAUAAUAAUUUCAUUAAAAGAAGAAUAACAAAGGAGAGAGUAGUAGUAGAAUUCAAUUAAAUAAUUUUAACAAGGAGUGUGCGGAUAUGAUUUUCUUAGAGAGAUUGUUGAUUAUUAUUGCGUCACAUCACACAAAUUGUUUCCACCUUUCCAAUGUUAAUUGCGCAGAAUUUUAUAGUAUAACUUUUCGUGCAAACAAGGUUGUUUGACUUUAUAUUUGUCAAGAUAAGAAGAUCGUUGACUAUAAAUUAUAUGGAGUAUAUAUAAAGGGUAAAGCUGUACAAGAAAAUAAGACUCAAAAGCCAACAAAAUAUGGGGAAUUUUUGCUCUGGACAUGAAAAGAGAAGAGAUGAUAAAAUAAACAAGAAAAAUGGUGGAUUUAAAGCCAUGCAAGGUGGUAACAUGGUUUUUAUGACUGAUGCUAAUCCUGGAGGGGGUCAUCAUGGACAUGAUGGAGGUGGAGGUGGUGGCGGAUGUGGAGGUGGUGGUGGAGGUGGCGGAGGGUGUGGAGGUGGAGGUGGUGGCGGAGGGUGUUGAGGUGGCGUUGGAGGCUUCUGAGAUAUGGUUGGCGGUAUUUUGUUGGAUUGUAUUUACUUAGUUGACAUGCCACCUUAUAUAGUCAUAUUUUGUAAAUAUUUGGUAACCUUAUAUAGUUAAUUAUACCUCUUUAUCUUAUGUGAAAUAAACCAUGUUGUACUUCUAUUCAAAUUGAUGUUAUAUCAUAGUUUUAUAAGUUUUUAUAUUUGGAUAGUGAAAGUAUGUUAAUUUGUACAACAUAAUUUUGAAUGAAAUUUAUGUUUUGCAAAAUUAGAUUAAAAUUGAAUUUAAAUUUGAUUCUUAAGGUCUCAGAUUCUCUCUGAUGCCAAUUUAAAGGGUUAGUUUAGCUUCUUCAAAAAAAAAAAUUAAAUUCAAAUAUUCAAGGGCGCUUGAAUGAGAUUAUGUUAGUCUUUUUCAAUUGAACCAGAUAUCUUGUGUUCAAAUAGCCUACUUCCUACUAUGUUUAAAAAAGUUCUAUAACAAAUGCUUUUUAUAGCAAAAAUUUAAUCUACGAAACUUUCACGACUACAUAAACACAUCUUUAUUUUUGACAACUGCAUGUUUGAUAAGUGGGUUUUAUUUAUUUAUUUAUUGCCAAGGCAUUUUCCCAUUCGUGAAACAUUCGGAAGAUUUCUCUCGUGAAUAUAGCAUUCUCCUAGUUCUAUAUAUUCUCUCAACUAUAUCAUUUUGUUGUGAUGAUCUUGAACUUUCCAAAAGACAGAAAAUGCCACGAGUUGCACGGAAUUUAUUGAACUCCUAUGAAGUGAAUUUACCUCCUUGAUUAGAUCUCAAAUUAUUUGUGAUUGUAAACUUAACUCAGUUGGUAGGAACAAUGUAUAAUAUAUGUAAGAUUCGGUGUUUGAAUCCCGACCACCACAAAAAAUAUCUCAAAUUAUUUUUAACUCGUUAUAUCAGAAAUGGCAAAAUGGAUCAACUCGUUAUAUUUAGCUCCGCAUUACAAUUAACUUGAAAAAGAUAUGGCGAGGCGGACCAAUAUGUGUGGGUUGUCCCGUAUAACAAAAAAAAAAACUUCCUAAAAAAACAUAAACUAUUCCCAUUUUUUUUUUACAAUUUAUUAUUACAAAAGAAAAUUGUUAUUAUAAGAAAUUGGCAGUUUGAUAAGUUUGUGGUAAAAACAUCAAUGACUCAAUGUCAUUCGCAACAACAUAGUUAACAAAUGAAACCUCAUCAGCAAUCUAACAACAUAAAUACAAUAAAUAUAAUUAACAGAAUCAAACAAACAAUGUCACUAGUAUAAAUUAAGCAACAUUUAACAAAUCUCAAAAUAAAUCCCCCAUCAUACAAAAAAAACCAACCAACAUUCAAAGAAAUUGCAAAAUAAAUCGUCAGUUUGGGGCACCUAUUAUUACUUACUAAUAUAGUAAUAAUUUUUACUUUUGAGGAGCCCACAUGCCAACCUGCUUGCCCCAUUUUUACAACAGGAUAAACGGUGCAGAUCAAUUAAAAAAGGUGGACUCAAAACAUCGACCCACUCUAUCUUAAAUAGUGGGUUAAAUGGGUCAGUCAAACGUACUAUAUAUGUUUUUCCACCCCUAUUAACAUUAGAGGUGGGGGUUAUUUAUCAUAAGAAACAAAGGGGAACUUCGAGUGCAACGACGAAAGAUAAAAAUGCUUAAUAAUAAGGUAAAAGAGUUCACAUCUGGGUGAAAGUGAGGAAAGUUAAAAGAGAUAAAAUAAUGUUAAAUUGAAAUGAAGUUUUUUUUUUUUUUUUUUUUUGUCAAUUUAAUAACAAAAUAAGGUAGAUUGGAGUUUAGUUAAAAACUAAAGGGUGUGUUUAGAGCUCUCAAACGGAAAUUGCUCUUUAAGCUUCAAUAAUUGCUCUCCCACGCCCCAAAAUUAACUAAAUACCAUAUACGAUAAUUAACUGUAGUUUGCUAUCCAAAUGUAGUUAAUUGUCGUUAUGUUUGUGAUAGUUAACUACCAUUACAUUCUGUCUUAUAUUAGCGCAACAACUCACUUCCAGACUUCUACAAAGAAAACAAUGCAUGUAAAGCAAUGUAAAAUGUUGAAUGAUGAUGAAAGUGAAGGUUUUCCAAGAUGUUGUUAUAAACUUGAUAUAGAUGAUUUGUUGAUGACAUGUCAUCUUACGUUAUUCUUAGCAUGUUUUUCAGUUAUUUUUAAUAGGUUUUAGCUGCAAAAAGGAGGAGUAUUAGAACAAUUGUCUAUGAUUUUGGAACUUUUGUAAUGUUUUCUAUAUUUGAGUAUAUAAUUUUAGUAAUGUUGAUGUUCUGGAUGAUGCCUCUGAUGUUCCAAAAUGUCCAAUUAUGCAAUAAUUUUUAGAUAUUCUUUUGAAGUAAUGUUGAAGUUUGUUACUUUCUUUCAAGAUGAGUUCUUGUGUUAAAAUGAAAGAAGGUAUGACUGUGUGGUAUCUCUCUACCUUGUACGUAUGGCCUCAGUUUGUUUUAGCCAAAAAUUUGUAAAAGGGGGAGAUUGUUGGGUAUUUGAUUAUUGACUUCAUUGUUGGUAAAACAAAUACUCAUGUAUGAUGUUGGAUACAAUGUUCUAACAUCUUGACACAGUUCAGUGUGUGGCUUGAUUUCGUGAACUGUAUCUUUUUUAAGGAAACCACACCUUAUUUCUUGUUCACCAAGUAACAUAUUUUUGUCCAGGAUCAGUUGGAUGAUUUGUUCCUAAAGUAUAGACAAUAUUUUAGGAUUCCUUGGUGAUGUUGUUUGGCGGUUCCUAAAUAUGUUCCUACUUUUUAGGUGUUGAUAUAUUUUUUAAGUGAGAUCACUGAAGAUUCUAUGAAGAUUUUAUUCAUGUGACUUAUGGUCCAAGAGACUUGUGUUUCCAGAAGAAAAUAUUUUUCAGAUGGAUAUUUUUAUUUGUGAAAUAUAUUUUAAAAGAGAUUUUGGAAGAUAUAUUUCUGAAGAAUAUUUGUUUCAAUAUAUUUCUGAAAAAAAUAUUUGAUACAAAUAUAUGUUUAGCCUAUGAGGAAAAAGCCCAUGCUGCUGAAUGGCUAUACGAGGAAGACUCAUACCAUAGUUUUAUUUACUAAUUCAAUAGUUUUGAAUUGAGUCUUUUAGGGUUUCGACUUGUGCUUUAUUUUUGAGCCUCUCUUUGUAUCACCUUGAUGCAUUGAGAAAGACCUUUAGUUGAGUUGUAAUGGAUCAAAACCCACGUUUUAUAUAAGAGUCAUAAUUAGGGUUUUGUGUCCUUGUUAUUUGUGUUUCACUCGUAAGCUUUUAAGCAAGAGUGGAUUUUAUUGGAGUGUGUCUCCAUUUUGAUUGUAUUUGUUUAAAUUACAGGGGUUCUGAGAUGGGAUCUCAGAUCUAGGAGUUCCUAUGUUGAAGUCAAUACGGGUAAGUCCUAGGUCUAGAGUUGUAAACGAGAGAUUUGCUGAUAACUUAGAAUAAGGACUACACUAGUGGAUUUCCUUCCUGGCUUGGUAGCCCCUAGAUGUAGGUGAUGUUGCACCGAACUGGGUUAACAAACCUUCUGUGUCUUUUUACUUUUAUGUCCUUUAUAUUUCCAUUGUUGUGUUUGUUUUCUACUAGCUCGAUGUUGAAACAUCUUACUCAACAUUCUGUUUGAGUCUGAUGUUGAAACAUCAUAUAAAACAUCAGCAAACUAGCCCACCAGAAUUUCAGUUUGUAUCUAGAUUGAUCUGCAAUUAUUAUAUUGAUGCAUUCCUUGUCAAUCAAAAUUUCAUAUGAAGAGCACAUUUUUUAGUAUAAAACCUUGCAAAGAAACAAUAUGUCUUUUUUUUCUUUUUUGUGUGUGAAAAAAGCAAAAAUUUUGAUCUACAUUACAUAUCACUUUUAAAUAAAAAUGAUAAUAUUGAAAUAUGGGUCUGGCUGCCUCAACAUAACCCAUAAUUUUUUUGGUUGAACUCAAUUUUUACAUGAAAGAUGCUCAAUAAGCCAACAAAAUGCUCACAUGUCCCUCAAAAUUAAAAAAAAAAAAAACCUCUAUGCUUCUAACUUCUGAUCGCUCUAGUUCAGGAGCAAAGACUCGAUCUCCAUAGAUUUCAUUUAACCUUGGAUCAAAAGUUAUGAAUCGAGAUCAGAUCGAGAGUUAAAAUUUGAUCCAUUCAUGCUUCAGACUUAGACAUAAUUUACAGUACCAAACACGUAAUUCAUUAACCAUUCAUAUUUUCAAGAACAAUUAACAACACUCAUAAUCGAACAAUAAUUUUUGACAAUCAUGAUUCAACAAUACACAAAAACUUAUAAUUCACCAUCAAUAAUUCAACAUUAAUAUGGUUUAGAAACAAGAUGUUCAACCAUAACUAUAAGUAAAGCACAAAACAAAAUUAAAAACUAAAUUAUAAUUUAAAAACAUCAAAAGAUUGCAUUGAAAUUGAAGGAAUUAAUGUGCUGAGUAGUUUCAGAGUUCAGGACGGAUAACGUUCAAGUCUUAACUUUUGAUAAAUAACAAUCCAUGUUUAAAAAAAAUGUAAAACAACAAUGUAAUCAGUUUAAAAGAUGUAAUUCAUAUUCUUUGAUGUCAUAUGAGUGAAGAAAUCAUUAUGCAAUUAUGUAAUGAUAAUUAGAGUUUAGGGAGGUUGUGUAGCACAUGCUUGGUUGCUUGAUAUUUAAAUAGAAUUGCAGUUCGGGUCAUAACCUCAAAACUUGAACGAGUAGGAGUUAUAACCAAGAGAUCGAAUUGUAACUUCCAAAAAAGGUAUUUUUUUGGGUUUCGAGGGGUGUAUGAGCAAAUGAAGGGGCCUAUUGAGAUUUUUUUUUACAUCCCUUAUAAGAAGUGAUUGGUCAAUUCCAUCCCAUCUAUAUGUGUUGGCUCGUCAGGCUAGGGCUAGGCCGAGUUAGCCCAUUAGCAACUCUCGGGUGUGUGAGUGUUACUUAAAAAGGCUGGAGGAGAUUAAUGUAUUUUUCUCAAAAACAAUUAAGGCUUAAAUAUGCAAAUGGUAUUUGCAAAUUUCAAGGGUUUUGAUUUUAGUCUUGUAUUUUUUUUUUAAUGGCAAAAUAUAUAUAUAUAUAUAUAUAUAUAUAUAUAAAAGAGAGAAUUGUACAAGAUACAUCAAAACAUCUGUCAAGUGACGCACCUGAAAACCACCAAAGGAUAAACCCCAAGGGCCACACAAAAAAACCAUCCAAAUACGGAAAAAAAAAAAAAAAGGAAAAACUACACAAAGAGAAAGCUACACCAAAAGAGAGAAACAAAAAGUAACAAUCUUCACCCAACAAAAAUUUGUCGUGACAGAGACAAAAAAGCAAAGAAACAACCGCAUAAGCAGGCCAGGAAAGAGGAUACAGAAGCCCCCACCCAAACCCCCAAGCGAACCGAGGCAAACCGCCACCAAAACCCUAUCGAUGCCAACAUAGGACGGGCUGCACCUCCAACUCAUGAUAAGUGCAUGAACUAGCAUGACACUUGGCAAGGAACCGCUUCCAAGCUAAGAGUUUCACUCUAUACACCACAGGCUCCUCACGGAGAGUGCCACUAGAGAAAAUAAGGCGUUCCGAGACGUCCAGAUGGUCCAAAUAACAACAUGUCAAACCAGAAGAAGACCUAAUCUAACUCUCUUCCCCCUCUAAUGCCCGUGAAGGCAUGCAAAUAUAUGAUCUUUUGUUUUGGUUCUUGGAGUUUUAUUUUAGUCUCUCUAAAAUUUAUUCAUAUUAAAAUUGAUGCAUAUAAUAUUCAUUUUAGUCCUUAUUUUAAGGGAUUAAAAUCAAAUAUUCUACAUAUUACAAUGACCAAAUCCAAUAUGAAUCAAUUUUCCAAGGAUUACCAUGACCAAAUCCAAUAUGAAUCAAUUUAGAAGGACUAACACUAAAACGAAAUUUUUACUAGACUAUUAAACUUUUAUUUAACUCAACUUUUAAACUUCUAUUUUUGCUUCAACGCUCACGUCUUCAGAUCUGCAACGUGGAUGACGCCAAAGUGAUUGAUUUGAUUUAUACCAUAUCGAAGCUGAUUUGGCAAUUUGAACCAAACAAAUACCUGAACAAAACAAGAAAGACAGACAACGCCGCACAAAGACGACGAAAAAACCAAGGUCGCACUAAGACGGAGAAAUCACAAAAUGAAAACGAAAUAGAUGUGAAAAUCACUUAUUUCAAUAAAGGAAAAGAGAAAAACUAGUUAGAGGAGUGAUUUUGGGUAAAAAAAUUGACCUUAAAUCACUCAUCUUUAAUGGAUGAAGGAGAAGAAACUAGAGUUUUUGUGACGUCUCAAAGAGAGGAAAGAGAGAGAACAAAGAGAAACUCUUGUGACUCCGAACAUCACGCUUUCUUGUCAAUUAAUAAUCGUAUUAAUUAGAAUUGGAAUGAGUUUUACAAAAUUUAUAUUGAAACUUAUUUUUUUUGACAAUAUCCAUUUUUUAAUAGUAGAACUCUAUUAAAUAAUUUUAACAAAAGAUUCUCGUGAGCUUAAUUCGGUUGAUAUAAAUAAUGUAUAAUAUAUACAAGGUUAGUGGUUCAAAGAAGAGCUUUAUCACAAAAUACAUUUAACAAAGGAGUGUGUGGAUAUGAUUGUUUUGGGAAUGGUGCGAAUACGGUGCAUACGAAACUUCAUGGAUGAGCAAUAGUUGCUCACUGAUUUGAUAUCUUCUAUGUACUAUAUAGUACCUAUUUUGUCGGUUUCUAAGAAGUAAGUUGACCUCUUAGCACCUUUUAUUGCUAAUUCAGUGAACUUUAUCGUCGAUGGUAUGUAUGAGACAUGAUCAUUAUAUAUUUUUUAAGGAGACAUGAUCAUUAUUAUUAUUUCUACAAAAGGGUGCUGUAUUUUUGUUAUUAUUUUUAAUCUAGUGUUAGUGCUCGUUUAUUUUAAUCUCCCAUUUUUUUCUAGUAAAAUAAAUGAGAAGAUAUGCUGCAUGUAUGAAGUUCACUUAUUUAUUAUUAAUUUUUUUAAGGGAAAAAAAAAAUUGUGUAUGCCACGUAUCAAUGACCACUUAAAAUGUGUCACAUAUCAAUGUUAUUUUAUAAAUGUUUUAUUCGAUAUACAUUUUUUAAAUGGUAUGCCACAUGACACAUCCUAAUUAAUCAAUGGUAUAUAUCUUUGAUACUUUAAUGGUGCACAAGUGUUAUCCGUCUUAGAGUGAUGGUUGAAUAUUAUUAUUAAUUGCGCAUAACUUAUAAGACUUUUCGUGAAAACAAGGUCGUUUGACUGAAGUUCCAAGGAGGUUAAUUGACUAUAAAUUAUUAGUUAUAUAGGUGUAUAUAAAGGGUAAAGUUGUACAGGAAAAUAAGACUCAAAAGCCAACAACAUAUAUACAGAAAUGGGAAAUUUUUGCUCUAGAUAUUGUGGAGGUAAAGGUGGAGGUGUAGGUGAAGGUGGAGAUGGAAUAGGUAACAUUGUGACUGAUGCUAAUCCUGGAGGGGGUCAUCAUGGAGGGGGUCAUCAUGGACAUGGUCAUCAUGGAGGGGGUCAUCAUGGAGGUCAUCAUGGACAUGGUCAUCAUGGAGGGGGUCAUCAUGGAGAUGGUGGUGGAGGUGGUGGCGGUGGGUGUUGAGGUGGUGGUGGAGGCUUCUGAGAUAUGGUUGGAGGUAUUCUAUUUUGUUGGAUUGUAUUUACUUACUUAUUUGACAUGCCACCUUAAUUAUAUCUUAUGUGAAAUAAAUCUUGUUGUACUUCUAUUCAAAUUGAUGUUAUAUCAUAUUUUUAUAUGUUUCUAAAUUUGGAUAGUGAAUGUAUGCUUUAGUAUGUUGUACUUUUUGAAUAAAAGUUGUUUUUGCCAUUUGAUUCGAUUUAAUUUGAAUUCCAAUAUCUGCUUUUAGCAAAAUGAUGUGGGUUUGGUCGACUUCCGUCCCUGCUCGACGGGUGGGUCUUGCAGUCAAACUCCCUUCUACCUUUGCACUCGAGGGCCAAUCUUCAUCUUACCCGAGGAAAACUUUACAAUAGGUUCCACUCCAAGAAAAUGGUUUCGAUGCUAUGUUGUUUAUUCAUAUUGUUUAGUCACAAACUUAAUGUGACAUUUAAUAGAAUAAAUUUUGAUUGCUGUUGUUGUAUCCUGUCACUUAAUCAUAAUCUUCUGAUCAUAUUUCUAGUGUAAAACAUUUUGUAAUGAUAUAAAAAUUCAACUCCAAAAGUAAACAGAGUGGACCUACUAGAAAAGGUGGACUCAAAACCUUGACUUAGUCCGUCUAAAACAGCGAGUUAAAUUAAUUGGAUCAACAAACUAUAUUUGUUUUGUCACUCCUAUUAACAUUAGACGCGUGGGUUAUUCAUAGUGGCGGAGCCAGAAAUUUUAUCGAAUAUGAAUAAAAUUUUGAUUGUAAAUUCACAUAUGACAAUAUAUAAAUAGUUAUAAAUUGAAGUAAGAGAGACUCGUCAUUUUUUCGAUAAAAGUAUAAUUUGAAAUAAGAGAGAGAUGAAACAUAACUUGUCAAUAGUGUGCUAAAUUAAAUUAGGAGUAAAUGCCCUUUCCAAGACCUCUUUGCGGUGAAUGUUCGAAUAAUAUCAACAUUAUCAAGUGCCUUGAAUAUCUCUCGCUCGGUGUAACAUAUCAUCAAGUUAUUGAAACACACAUCGUUGAUCUUGUUGGUAACAAUUAUUUCUCACGAGCUUAUAAGAUUAUUUUACUAGCUUAUUGGCAAAGCUUGAUAACCCGUGGAGUACUUCCAACUUUUGUUGAUGUUGGUAAUAGCUUUAAGAUACCCAUUUUGUUAUUGUAGAUCCACAAAUUAAAAAUUAAAUUCUAAUUUAUUAUGCUCUGUUGUAGAAGUGAUUGUAAGUUUUUUUAGAUAUGAAGUGAUUGUAAGUUGUAACUUGAUUAUGUCAUUUUAUUUAAUAAGCUAUUAUGAAUAGUGAUUCAUGAGACAUCCCAACGUCUAGGUGAAGCCUUAAUAACCAUCCUAUAUUGUUUAUAUUAAUAACCUCUCCGUAUUUAUACAAGUUUUGAGGUCAUUAAAAAAUGAUAAACCAAAUUAAAAGUGAAUAAGAGCACGCCACGUUUCAAGGGACACAUAGCAUUCUAUUCUUCUUUUUUUUUUUUUUUGAAGGAACAGCAUUCUAUUCUUCUUGUAAGUAGGAGGUGUACACUUAUGGUAACCUUAGAAAUCAUGAGUCAAAAGUUAUUGAGAGUGGCAAGUCCUUGUUGCUCCAAUGAAAAAGUUAACAUAAAUGUGGUGUAAAUAAUUUAUAGCUCUUACAAAGUGUAAAUCACUUAUACCAAAAAAGUUAUAUUUCUUUAUUAUUCACAGUGAAUAAUAAAGAUUGUUGUUAUGGUUCAACCACAUGCUUCCAACGUAAAUGAAAUAGAAGCAGGAGGUGAAAUAAAUUGAUAGAUUUCUUAAUUAACAAUGAAGAAAGACAUAUUAUAUUUCUAUACCAACUAUAAAGUGAUGAACUAUGAAGUGUACCAAAAAUAAUGUAGCGUGAAUUAUUUCUAUACCAACUAUAUAAUAUCUAAUGUAUCUACUAGUAGUAUAAUAUGUAGAACAUAUAUGUAUUUAGAAUGUUGAUCCUUAAAACACAUGUAUGUGUAUAUAAAAUAGUAAUAAGAUAUAUCUUUGCAUUUGUCAAUCAUCAGUUAGAAUAUAUAAUAUAGAAAACUAUAUAUGUAUGUGAGCAAAGCAACUUAUAUAUUAUAAUCGUCAUUAUUUUUAUAAAUAAUUAUGUUAUACUUUAUAAUUUGGUUAGUACAAACAAAGUUAAAUUAAAUUUAAAAUAAAAUUUGCCCCAAAAUAUUGAAGAAAGAAUUGAAAACUCAAGGGUAAAAUUGGAAUUUCAUGUAUGACAGUGAUUGCCACGUCAUCAAAUUAGUGACAUGACAGUGAUUAAGUGGAGAGAGGGACGAAAUUUUAAAUGAUUAAACAAUGCAAGGGUAAAUUGCCAAGAUUAGCGAUUACAUGGACCAAUAUUUAAACGACCCCUAAUUGCAAUGAUGAAAUACAUAUUUAAGCAUUUUUAAAAAUGAUCUCCUUAUAGUUACUUACGUUUUGUACGUAGGUAAAAGUGAAAAACGUGCAGUGACAACCAUUUGACAAUGACAGACAUAUUUAACUACGAAAAUUUGGCCUAUAGUAACGGAUUUUGGCCAUACUAUAAGUCAAAUCGUUUGUAAAUUUCUCGUAACGAUACAAAGAAAAUAUGUGUUGAACUCGGGCGUGUGCCCAAGCUCGUCGGACGGUAAAUCUGCCCAUGAUUAUUUAUUAGGAGAAAAAAAGGGAAACUUAGAGUUCAACAACAAAGAUAAAAAUGCUUAAUAACAAAGUAAAAAAAAUUAUGGUAAUCUGCGUGAAAGUGAGGGGAGUUAAAGAGAUAAAAUGGUGUUAAAUUGGAAUGGAGUUUUUUUGUCAAUUUAAUAACAAAAUUAGGGAGAAUGGAGUUUAGUUAAAAAAACUAAAGGGUGUGUUUACGGCUAUAAUAAAAAGAAAAUUGCACUUUAAGCUUCAAUAAUUGCUCUUCUAUGCCCCAAAAUUACUUAAAUACCCUCAACGACAAUUACCUAUAUGUAGUUCAUCGUCGUUGUGCGAGCGACAGUUAACUAUUGUUGUGUUCUUCCUUAUACCAACAAAGCAAACAAUGCAUGUAAAAUAUUAUAAAAUGUUGAAUGAUGAUGAAAGUGAAAAUGAUCUAAGACGUUGUUAUAAACUUGAUCUAACUGACAUGACAAUUGACAUAUUUCUAUUGACAGGGCAACUUGAUCAAGUUUAAAACAGCUUCUUCGUGUUCAGAUCCGCCGGAUAGGUAUUUAUAAGAUGCGUGAAGAUGAAAGGCAAGAUAUUUAUGAACAUGAUCCCGCUAUUGAUGGUAAAGAGGAAAUGUUUUAACGAGAUCCACUAAUAUGAGAUAAAAUGUUGUUAAAGUUUUACAAAUGAUUUGUACUUGUUUACACUUUGAGAACUCUAAGAGUGGUAAACUCUUUUUCGGGAACUUCUACGGUACACCUCACAAAUUAAGGUGUACUGGUACUCCUGCUUCAAAUAUUUACAAUUUAACGAUUAUUUUAUGAAAUAAAGAGUUAUUUAUCAAUAUUUAUAUUUUAUAAUACAUCGUUUUAUAAGAAUAAACAUCAUUUCAUUGUUUAUAAGAAUAUAUUAAAUUUUUAACAUUUUCUCAUAAAAAAUAAUAAAUAUUCUUUGUUAUAUGUAACAAAAAUUCAAAAAAUGUAAAUUUUAUUUCGUCGACACUUUCGGUAACUAAGAUAUAAUUAUUGUAAUAGUUAAUGAUAGAAAACAAUUCUUUUUCUUUGAAAAAACAACUCGUUUCAAUAUGAAUUUGAUGAUUUGGUGUACCGGAACACUCAAAUUUUUUAGUGUAGCAUAGAAUUUGCCAUUAACUUCUGAUACUUAAGAAAAUUCUAAGAAACUAAGUUUGUAAAAUAUUUCUAAGUGUUUGAAGGCUUUUGAAUUUGACAGAGGUUUGACUCUUAUAAAUUUUUUCAAAGUGUUAUGUAUUCUUCAAACUGCUCAAAUCUUUAAAUUGGAGAGAAAAAUGUAGUUGUUGUUUUUAAGUUAGACAGCUCAUCAUAAUCGUCCUUGAGUAGCUUGAUCAAAUUUUGAAAAAUUUACCUCAAUUGGAUAACGUCGUUGAAUAGUACUUGAAAAAAAAAUCCUUUGCUUUAUAUUGAAUGAUCAGUUCAUUCUGUCUUUUUUUUCUUCUUCUUUUCUGCACGUGAUAAAUAGCAGACAAACUAUACUGUCAGCGCUCAAAAGAGACCUUCCAUAAGAAGAAGACAAAACUGGUCAGAGCCACCCAGACUGCUGGCAACAUUAGAACUUGUUUCCUUCCGAGGCUGAAACCAUUAAAGCCUAUUUUCAUCAAAGUAUUUAAGACACCUUCUAAUCAGAGAGUUAACUUUCUGUUGACGUUUAUUCAAAUGUCUUUUAAGUCUACAGAAGUUCUCAAUGGUUUUCUUUAGUACUAAAUUUUUUUCCCUUGUGCUUAGAGCUUGAUAUCUCAUAACCAAAGCCUGACUUUGAAGUCAAAAUUUAAUUAUAUGGUCAUGCACACUUGAACACACAUUAGAGUGUCAGGUUGUUCUUUCAUAAAUUAUUAUCAUCAGAACUUAAGAGACAUUGUCCAAAAACCCAUUAUAGUUCAACAAGAAAUUGUAUAACUCAUUAGAUAGAAUACAAAACAUGUUCCUACCAUUCUUUUGAGUUUUCGAAGAGACUAGAAAAUCAUUACACUAAGUAUAAGAAAGUUCAAUGCCAACAUUUUCAGAAAACUUUCAUGAAUUAAAUAAAACUCUACAUCAUAAUGAUACAACAUCCUUUAGGAGAAUGUCAUGUAAGGCGCUCUUAUUUGUGUUUAUGUACUAUAAUAGCCCGAUUUUAACGGAAAUGAAAUGAAACUACAAAUUAUCAUUUGUGGUUUUCUAUUGUUUAGAUGCAUAUAUCAAGUAGCAUGGAUAAAAUUUGAAGUAUAAAAGGUCAAUGUAAUUUGUGUGGGCUUUAAGUCUGCCGAAAAUGUUAGCCGAUAAUUCAAGACAUUCUUGUAUGUAUUCUGUGCUCAUAGCUACCUCGAUUAGUCGCGUCAUGAACAAGAGUAAAAUGAUAAAUUGUCAAGUUUUCGCAAAGUUUUUAUAUACUAAUACCUACAUGAACUUUGAGAACCUCAAUAGACUUAAGAAAGUUUCGACUAAUCCACAUUUAACUGGUUUUGAGCUCUCUGAUUCUUCAAUUGGUUGAGGGAAACUCGCUCGACCCUAACUUCACAAGUCUGUUGAUUUCGACUAACAAAUUAUUUAUUUUUAAAUGUAAACAAUAUCAUAUCAUUAUUUAUCUAUAAUAUAUUAUGAUAUAUCUAUGCAUUUAUGAGGAGCCAUAUAACAACAUGAUAUAAUAACUCAUAAAAAAAAACUUUAUUGGCCAAAAUUACAUUACGUUCAUAUCUUAUCGCAUGUUUACAAAUCCUUGUAAAAUUUUGCUUUUGAGAAUAAUUAAAUAAAAUCAAACUGAGCCUUAAGACCACCCACAAUUGGUUCGCUUACUUCCAUAAACUUAGCAUUUACACUUUGUAUGGUUGAAGAAUGAAAGUAAAAGGAAAGAAAGAAAAAGGAAAGAUUGUAUGAUCGAGGAAAGAAAGAGAGUAGAAAGUGAGGGGAUUAUUUUAAUUGUUUGAUAUAAUCGAGAGUGGAGUAGAAAGUUAAAGGAAAGAAAGAUCUCUAUAUCAUAAAUUAUAUAUAAACACGUGUCUGGAAAAAAUGUGUGGUUAGAUUUUUUGAGUAGUUUAAUUGCAGAGACAAGACAUAAAAAUUAGGAAAUAAAUUAAAAAAAAUAAAGAGAGAGAUUAUGAAUCAAUAGUGAAAUAAAUAAAUUAGUAAAAAAAAAGUGAAAUAAUGAAAUAAAUAAAAGUAACAAGAGUUAGGGGUGUUUCGGACUUUUCAUACAGAACAUGGUGUUUCUCGUCCUUUCCGUGACCGUGCCCUUUCCGUGCAUCUACGAGAGGAAAGUUUUUUAAUGUUGGUCCCACAAAAUUCUUUCUUUCCUUUGCCUCUUAACACUGUGUUUGGUUGAAGAGAAAUAGUGAAGAGAGAAGUAUUAAAGAGAGAAAAAGAAGAGAAAGUCUUGAUUUCUGUCGUUUGAAAUGAAGAGAAACUGAGGAGAGAGAGAGAGAGAGAGAGAGAGAGAGAGUUUUUUUCAUGGGUCCCAGACCUUUUUCUGGUCUUCUCUAUCCAGCGAAAAAAGGAGGUGGAGAUGCCCAUGUUUUUUGAAAUUUCAUUUUUAUCCUUUUCUCAAUAAAACCGCCACGGAAGAAGAAAAGGUUUGGGCCUUUGUUUUUUUAUUAGUUUUACUUUUUCUGAAGGAAAUGUCUUUGUUUUUUUAGUUGAUUUGUGAAAUUAAAUCCUUAUCAAAUUAAGUUAAUUCAGGAAAAAUAAUUAAGUGUUAUCACUACUGCAAAUAUAAUGUCUGCACACAAAUUAUUUUAGAGAAAACUAAUAGAUUUAAUUACUUAAUUUCCUUAAAUUAAUAUAAUUAAUUAACUAAAAAUAAUUAUUUAAUUCAUAAAUUAAUAAAGAACAAAUUAAAAAUGAAAUUAAUUUUAUAAGUCUUUUUUAGUUUAGGGGUAUAUUUGUAUUUUUGAAAACAAUCAACACUUCUUUCUCUUGAUUUCUCUUCUAUCUCUCUCAUACCAAACAACCUAUCAAAUCUACUCUAUUUCUCACAUAUUUCUUUUUCACCAUACUCUUUCUCACCUAUUUCUCUCUUAUCACUUUCUCUCCACAACCAAACACACCUUAAGUGAGUUCCAAACGAAAGAAAGUGUUUCUUUCUCUCAACUUUCUCUCCUUCUCACAAACUUUCCAUAGAAACAAACAUGGCCUUAAUGAAACCUUUUUUUAAGUUAAUAAAAACGGUACUUAAUUAUUAAGGACCACCACCUAUUAAGUAUGACACAUAAAUAUUUGGGUGCCAUAGUUUUUUAGUGCCAUUGGUGACAUAGUUCAUUUUAGAUGAAAGAGAAUGAUUAAAAUAAAUUAUUUAGAUGAGAGAGAAUGAGUUGUUAAGAGAGAGAUAGACACAAAGUUACCUAUGGCACCAAUGGCACCAAAAAACUAUGGCACCCAAGUGCUACCCGUUGGUGAAAUAUAAUAAUAUAUACUCCAUUCGUCUUGGAUUAACUGAGUCAUUUGCUCAUUUCAUAUAUAUUAAGAAAAAUAUAUAAAUGAAGGAGAGAGAAAAACUGUUUUGUUGUUAGUUAUUGGUGCAUUCUCCACUAUCAUAAAUACAAAGUAGAAUAUAUUGAAUUUGGAGUGAUAAAAGUAGUGUUAAUUAGAGUUAUAAAGGAAAAAAAAUAAAAUGACUCAUAUGUUGAGACACUUUUUUUGCAAAUAACUCGGUUAUUAUGAGACGGAUGAAAUAGUUAUUGGCGGAUCCAUUUAUAAAAUUUGAUUAAAGUAUUAAGUUGGAGGAAGUGAAUGUUUUCCUUUAAAAUAUUAUGAAUGAAUGAUGUGUAGUAAUCACUCCAUCACAAAUUAUAAGUCACUUUUAAAAAAUUUAAUUCUUAAAAUAAUAAUUGGUUUUGAAAAAAAAAUUAUCUUAAAUUAUAAGCCACUUUACAAUACCCAUAAAAUAUUUCCUUAAAAAAAUACCCAUAAAAUAUUAAUGUUUCUUUUCCUUUUAUACACUUAACUAUUUACUACUCUCUAUCUCUUUAAUUCUUUAAUUUAUCUUUUAAGUUAUCAUUUUUUUAAGGAUACCAAUAGAUUCUCUAAGAAAAUUAAAUAAAUUCUUCUAUCUUAACUCUUAAGUUUUUGCAUGUAAUGUAUGACAUAAUUAUACUCCGGCAUUUUUCUAUGUGCUAUACUUUUCGUCUUAGAAAUUUCUUUGGUCAAAUAAAACGAUAUAAUAUCUUGCUAACUUUUCCUUUCACAUUUCUACUAUAAUUUUCUUUUCUUUUUUCCUCGUAUUUUCCUUUUACAACUUACAUAUUUUUCAACUCAAUAAUAAUUUCAUAAAAGAAGAAUAACAAAGGUAACAUCAUCUUCAAUGAAAAAAAGGUCGUUGACUAUUAUUGUCUUCGAGAGAUUGUCGAUAAAAUUCUCUAUCAAUCAUUGAUUAUUAUUACGUCAUUACGUCAUAUCACACGAACGUAGUUUCCAAUGUUCUUGCGCAGAACUUCAUAAAACUUUUCGUGGAAACAAGGUCGAUUGAUUGAAGAAAAAUAGGAGGUUGACUAUAAAUUAUAAAUUACUGGGAAAUGUUAACGAGUGCCUUCGAGACACUUUUAAGAUCCAUAAAUAGUAAAUAUUUUUAAAAAUACAUGUAAUUAUUGUUUAGAAAUUGAAAUAUUUAAUUUUAUUAAAGAGUAAUUGCUUAUUUUAAAAUGCUUAAAGAGUGCAUUGGGGACACUCGUUAAUAAGACCAUAAAUUAUACAGGUGUAUAUAAAUAUAAAAGGUAAAGCUACAGGUAAAUAAGACUCAAAAGCCAACAGCAUAUAAUUAGCAUUGUUUAUGAAUAUGAUAAUAACAUUGUUUCUGAUGGAGGGGGUCAUCAUGUAGGGGGUCAUCAUGGACAUGUUCAUCAUGGAGGGGGUUAUCAUGGAGGGGGUCAUCAUGGAGGUGGUGGUGGAGGUGGCGGCGGAGGGUGUUGAGAAGACGGUGGAGGCUUCUGAUAUAUAGUUGGCGGUAUUUUGUUGGAUUGUAUUUACUUAGUUGACAUGCCACUUUAAUUAUACCUCUUUAUCUUAUGUGAAAUAAAUCGUGUAGUACUUCUAUUCAAAUUCAUGUUAUACUAUCAUAUUUUUAUAAGUUUCUAAAUUUGGAUAGUGAAUAUAUGCUUUAGUAUGUUGUAUUUUUUGAAUAAAAUUUGUGUUUUGCCAUUUGAUUAGAUUAAAAUUGAAUUCAAAUAUCUGCUUUUAGCAAAAUGAUGGUGGGUUGGUAGGGCCACACAAAUCAGUAUGCAAGAUUUGUAGUGGUUUAAGUGCUCUUGAUGCCAUUAUGAUAUCAAGUAGUACAAAGGAUUAUUUGUAGGUACAUUAGGAGAACUCUAGAAUUAUUUCUAGGAUUUUCCUAAUUAUAAUUCACUUCUAGAUAAUUUCCACAUAUAUAUUUUUUAAUUAAAACAUAUAAUUUUUCCCUAAUUUUUCCUUUUAGAUUUCCC
rnacentral:lncRNA from 1 species